rnacentral:rRNA from 1 species
UGGGGAAUAUUGGACAAUGGGGGGAACCCUGAUCCAGCCAUGCCGCGUGUGUGAAGAAGGCCUUAUGGUUGUAAAGCACUUUAAGCGAGGAGGAGGCUACUAGUAUUAAUACUACUGGAUAGUGGACGUUACUCGCAGAAUAAGCACCGGCUAACUCUGUGCCAGCAGCCGCGGUAAUACAGAGGGUGCGAGCGUUAAUCGGAUUUACUGGGCGUAAAGCGUGCGUAGGCGGCCAUUUAAGUCAAAUGUGAAAUCCCGAGCUUAACUUGGGAAUUGCAUUCGAUACUGGAUGGCUAGAGUAUGGGAGAGGAUGGUAGAAUUCCAGGUGUAGCGGUGAAAUGCGUAGAGAUCUGGAGGAAUACCGAUGGCGAAGGCAGCCAUCUGGCCUAAUACUGACGCUGAGGUACGAAAGCAUGGGGAGCAAACAGGAUUAGAUACCCUGGUAGUCCAUGCCGUAAACGAUGUCUACUAGCCGUUGGGGCCUUUGAGGCUUUAGUGGCGCAGCUAACGCGAUAAGUAGACCGCCUGGGGAGUACGGUCGCAAGACUAAAAGCUUAAAGGGAA